rnacentral:misc_RNA from 1 species
UUUCCGUAGGUGAACCUGCGGAAGGAUCAUUACUGAGCGCGAGACCUAGCCGUGGCAUCUGCUGCGCACUGGGUCGACCCCUCCACCCGUGUUGACUUUAUAUCUUGUUGCUUUGGCGGGCCGGGCCUGCACCGGGCGCACCAGUCACCGGCGUCAAGCCAGUGUCCGCGUGUGAUGCAGCCCCAUCGGCUUCGGCUGGAGCGUGUCCGCCAGAGACUCAACCCAAACUCAGUUAUGUUAAUGUGUCGUCUAGGAAAAAGUACAGAUUUAUGAAAUUGAAUAAAACUUUCAACAACGGAUCUCUUGGCUCUGGCAUCGAUGAAGAACGCAGC